AACGCGUGGGUAACCUACCCUGUACACACGGAUAACAUACCGAAAGGUAUGCUAAUACGGGAUAAUAUAUUUGAGAGGCAUCUCUUGAAUAUCAAAGGUGAGCCAGUACAGGAUGGACCCGCGUCUGCUUAGCUAGUUGGUAAGGUAACGGCUUACCAAGGCGACGAUCAGUAGCCGACCUGAGAGGGUGAUCGGCCACAUUGGAACUGAGACA
rnacentral:rRNA from 1 species